GAUGAACGCUAGCUACAGGCUUAACACAUGCAAGUCGAGGGGCAGCAUAACGAAAGCUUGCUUUUGUUGAUGGCGACCGGCGCACGGGUGAGUAACGCGUAGGCAACCUGCCUUUCUGAUGGGGACAACAUCCCGAAAGGGGUGCUAAUACCGAAUGACGUAUGUUUCCCGCAUGGGAAAGAUACCAAAGAUGGCCUCUACUUGUAAGCUAUCGCAGAAAGAUGGGCCUGCGUCUGAUUAGCCAGUUGGCGGGGUAACGGCCCACCAAAGCGACGAUCAGUAGCCGGUCUGAGAGGAUGAACGGCCACAUUGGGACUGAGACACGGCCCAGACUCC
rnacentral:rRNA from 1 species